UACAGAGGUCUCAAGCGUUGUUCGGAUUCAUUGGGCGUAAAGGGUGCGUAGGUGGCGCCGUAAGUCGGGUGUGAAAUUUCGGAGCUUAACUCCGAAACUGCAUUCGAUACUGCGGUGCUUGAGGACUGGAGAGGAGACUGGAAUUCAUGGUGUAGCAGUGAAAUGCGUAGAUAUCAGGAGGAACACCGGCGGUGUAGACGGCUUUCUGGACCGUAGCUGACGCUGAGACACGAAAGCGUGGGUAGCAAACAGG
rnacentral:rRNA from 1 species